rnacentral:rRNA from 1 species
GACGAACGCUGGCGGCGUGCUUAACACAUGCAAGUCGAACGAUGACGCCCGAGCUUGCUCGGUCUGAUUAGUGGCGAACGGGUGAGUAACACGUGAGCAACCUGCCCUUCACUCUGGGAUAACCUCGGGAAAUCGGGGCUAAUACCGGAUAUGAGCUCCUGUCGCAUGGCGGGUGUUGGAAAGUUUUUCGGUGAAGGAUGGGCUCGCGGCCUAUCAGUUUGUUGGUGAGGUAGUGGCUCACCAAGGCGAUGACGGGUAGCCGGCCUGAGAGGGCGACCGGCCACACUGGGACUGAGACACGGCCCAGACUCCUACGGGGGGCAGCAGUGGGGAAUAUUGCACAAUGGGCGAAAGCCUGAUGCAGCGACGCCGCGUGAGGGAUGACGGCCUUCGGGUUGUAAACCUCUUUCAGCAGGGAAGAAGCGAAAGUGACGGUACCUGCAGAAGAAGCGCCGGCUAACUACGUG